CCUACGGGUGGCAGCAGUAGGGAAUAUUGCUCAAUGGGGGAAACCCUGAAGCAGCGACGCCGCGUGAGUGAAGAAGUAAUUCGUUAUGUAAAGCUCUAUCAGCAGGGAAGAAAAUGACGGUACCUGAGUAAGAAUCCCCGGCUAACUACGUGCCAGCAGCCGCGGUAAUAUGUAGGGGGCAAGCGUUAUCCGGAUUUACUGGGGGUUAUGGGAGCGUAGACGGCAGUGCAAGUCUGGAGUGAAAGGCGGGGGCUCAACCCCCGGACUGCUCUGGAAACUGUACGGCUGGAGUGCAGUAGAGGUAAGUGGAAUUCCUGGUGUAGCGGUGAAAUGCGUAGAUAUUA
rnacentral:rRNA from 1 species